GCCCUUAGAGUUUGAUCCUGGCUCAGAUUGAACGCUGGCAGUAUGCUUAAGACAUGCAAGUCGUGCGGUAGAAGGCUUCGGCCUUUGAGAGCGGCGGACGGGUGAGUAACACGUGGGAAUCUGCCUAUUAGUGGGGGACAGCCCAGCGAAAGCUGGAUUAAUACCGCAUACGCCCUACGGGGGAAAGCAGCAAUGCGCUAAUAGAUGAGCCCGCGUAAGAUUAGCUAGUUGGUAAGGUAAAGGCUUACCAAGGCGACGAUCUUUAGCUGGUCUGAGAGGAUGGCCAGCCACAUCGGGACUGAGACGCGGCCCGGACUCCUACGGGAGGCAGCAGUCGGGAAUAUUGGACAAUGGGCGCAAGCCUGAUCCAGCAAUACCGCGUGUGUGAAGAAGGCCUGCGGGUUGUAAAGCACUUUCAGUUGGGAAGAUAAUGACGUUACCAACAGAAGAAGCACCGGCUAACUCCGUGCCAGCAGCCGCGGUAAUACGGAGGGUGCAAGCGUUAAUCGGAAUUACUGGGCGUAAAGCGUGCGUAGGCGGCCUGUUAAGUCAGAUGUGAAAGCCCCGGGCUUAACCUGGGAACUGCAUCUGAUACUGGGAGGCUAGAAUGUGGGAGAGGAGAGUGGAAUUUCCGGUGUAGCGGUGAAAUGCAUAGAGAUCGGAAGGAACACCAGUGGCGAAGGCGGCUCUCUGGACCAACAUUGACGCUGAGGCACGAAAGCGUGGGUAGCAAACAGGAUUAGAUACCCUGGUAGUCCACGCCGUAAACGAUGUCAACUAGCCGCCGGCCUCACUCUAGAGGUCGGUGGUGCAGCUAACGCAUUAAGUUGACCGCCUGGGGAGUACGGCCGCAAGGUUGAAACUCAAAGGAAUUGACGGGGGCCCGCACAAGCGGUGGAGCAUGUGGUUUAAUUCGAUGCAACGCGAAGAACCUUACCUGGUCUUGACAUGUAGUGAACUUCGCAGAAAUGUUUUGGUGCCUUCGGGAACACUAACACAGGUGCUGCACGGCUGUCGUCAGCUCGUGUCGUGAGAUGUUGGGUUAAGUCCCGCAACGAGCGCAACCCCCAUGUUCAGUUGCCAUCAGGUUAUGCUGGGCACUUUGAACAAACUGCCGGUGGUAAGCCGGAGGAAGGCGGGGAUGACGUCAAGUCCUCAUGGCCCUUACGGGCUGGGCUACACACGUACUACAAUGGCGGUGACAGAGGGAUGCAAUAGGGCAACCUGGAGCAAAUCCUCAAAAGCCGUCUCAGUUCAGAUUGUUCUCUGCAACUCGAGAGCAUGAAGUUGGAAUCGCUAGUAAUCGCUAAUCAGCAGGUAGCGGUGAAUACGUUCCCGGGCCUUGUACACACCGCCCGUCACACCAUGGGAGUUGGUUCUACCUGAAGCUGGUGUUGCUAACCGCAAGGAGGCAGCCAACCACGGUAGGGUCAGUGACUGGGGUGAAGUCGUAACAAGGUAACCAAGGG
rnacentral:rRNA from 1 species